AAAAAAAAAAAAAAAAAAGGCAAAAUAUAACAAAGUAUAUUUUGUACACUUUGUUAUAUUUUGUAUACUUUGUUAUAUUUUGUAUGCUAUAGUAACAAAGCAGAUCCGUGGUUGCUUGGGGAUGAGGUGGGGCAGUUAGGAAGGGAAUUACAAAGGGGCAUGAGGAAACUUGGAGAUGAUGAUAUGUCCACUAUCUUGAUUAUGGUGAUGGUUUCAUGAGUGUAUGCAUAUGUUAUUUUUUUUCAAAACAAAUACCUAACACUUCUGUUUCUUGGACCAAUUUUUUUUUUAACUUGCCCUGCCCCCACCACCUGCUUGGACCAAAAUAUAAUACCUAUUUAUGUCCUAAAAAAAUAGUAGCAGUUUAGAAAAUCGACAACACAUAGAUAGAAAAAAAAAUUGUUAAAUAACUACAAUUGCUUAUUAAUGGAUGCAUGUUUGUUAGACUCUGCACACCUUCCCAAACCUUAAUCAGAUUGUCUGAUAUCACCUAAAUCACUUUAUCCAUGCUGAUUUUUGUCAGGUGUUUGCUUUUUAUCACAGAAACUGCUGUAAACCCAGCUUUGCAAAAAGAUGUCAUUGAAAGAAAAGUAGUUCAAUGUAACUUUGAAACUUUGAACUCCCUUGAAUAGUUUAUGAGGUAUCUGACAUGUUGAGUACCCAUAUAUUUCCCUCAAACAAUUUAAAGCAUCUUACAGCGUCCCUGAGAAUUCACUAUGGCACUCUGAGGUGCCUCAACACAGUUUGGGAACUGCAAUCCUAACUCACGCAGGUCUGUGUUUCCUCAUUCUGUUUCUUUUCACUUAGUAUUAUGGUUUUUUUGUUUUGUUUUUUAGAGGGAGUCUCUGUCACCCAG
rnacentral:lncRNA from 1 species